rnacentral:rRNA from 1 species
ACGAACGCUGGCGGCGUGCUUAACACAUGCCAGUCGAACGGAAAGGCCUGCUUUCCCUUGUGGAUUGCGGGUACUCGAGUGGCGAACGGGUGAGUAACACGUGAGUGAUCUGCCCCCAACUUGGGUAUAAGCCUGGGAAACUGGGUCUAAUUCCCGAUAGGACUGCAGGGUGGUGCCUGUGGUGGAAAACGAUUUUCUAGUGGUUGGGGAUGAGCUCGCGGCCUAUCAGCUUGUUGGUGGGGUAAUGGCCUACCAAGGCGGCGACGGGUAGCCGGCCUGAGAGGGUGGACGGCCACAUUGGGACUGAGAUACGGCCCAGACUCCUACGGGGGGCAGCAGUGGGGAAUAUUGCACAAUGGGCGGAAGCCUGAUGCAGCGACGCCGCGUGGGGGAUGACGGCCUUCGGGUUGUAAACUCCUUUCGACCGCGAGGAAGCCACCUGGUUGGAAGGAUGGUGACGGUAGUGGUAGAAGAAGCACCGGCUAACUACGUG